GACGAACGCUGGCGGCGUGCUUAAUACAUGCAAGUCGAACGGACAGGCCCUGCUUUUGUUGGGUGCUCGUGUGGCGAACGGGUGAGUAACACGUGAGUAACCUGCCCUUGACUUUGUGAUAACUUCAGGAAACUGGGGCUAAUACCCGAUAUGAUCUCCUGCUGCAUGGUGUGGGUUGGAAAGUUUCGGCGGUUGGGGAUGGACUCGCGGCUUAUCAGCUUGUUGGUGGGGUAGUUACUUACCAAGGGUUUGACGGAUAGCCGGCCUGAGAGGGUGACCGGGGACAAGGGGACUGAGAGACGGAGCAGAAGGCUACGGGAGGCAGCAGGGGGGAGUAUUGCAGAACGGGCGGAAGUCUGAGGCAAAAGCGCCGGGUGCGGGAUAACGGGCUUCGAGGUGUAAACCGAUGUGGAAGGAGACGAAGAGAGAGUGACGGUAAUGGGUAAGGAAGCAACGGCUAACUACGUG
rnacentral:rRNA from 1 species